AACCAGGCGAUGACGGGGAGCAGUAAUCUGUAACCUCCUGCCCAGAGAAUCGGCGGCCGGUGCGAGCUGAUGAGGAGGAACGGGUGAACUCACCCCGUCGCCUCACAGGGGAAAUACAUCGAGUAUCCUGUGACGACUGAUCCCCGAUAACGGAUCCGGAAGAGCGGGCAUCCAACGAUGCCAAGCAGGGUGGUACCGCGGGAGAUUGUGAACCAACCUCUCGUCCCUGGC
rnacentral:ncRNA from 1 species